rnacentral:rRNA from 1 species
GCAGAUCCUCUUCGGAGGUGACGCCUGUGGGACGAGCGGCGGACGGGUGAGUAACACGUGGGCAACCUGCCUGUAAGACUGGGAUAACCCCGGGAAACCGGGGCUAAUACCGGAUAAUACUUUUCGUUGCAUAACGAGAAGUUGAAAGGCGGCUUUUAGCUGUCACUUACAGAUGGGCCCGCGGCGCAUUAGCUAGUUGGUAAGGUAACGGCUUACCAAGGCGACGAUGCGUAGCCGACCUGAGAGGGUGAUCGGCCACACUGGGACUGAGACACGGCCCAGACUCCUACGGGAGGCAGCAGUAGGGAAUCUUCCGCAAUGGACGAAAGUCUGACGGAGCAACGCCGCGUGAGUGAUGAAGGUUUUCGGAUCGUAAAACUCUGUUGUCAGGGAAGAACAAGUGCCGUUCAAAUAGGGCGGCACCUUGACGGUACCUGACCAGAAAGCCCCGGCUAACUACGUGCCAGCAGCCGCGGUAAUACAUAGGGGGCAAGCGUUGUCCGGAAUUAUUGGGCGUAAAGCGCGCGCAGGCGGUCCUUUAAGUCUGAUGUGAAAGCCCACGGCUUAACCGUGGAGGGCCAUUGGAAACUGGAGGACUUGAGUACAGAAGAGGAGAGUGGAAUUCCACGUGUAGCGGUGAAAUGCGUAGAGAUGUGGAGGAACACCAGUGGCGAAGGCGACUCUCUGGUCUGUAACUGACGCUGAGGUGCGAAAGCGUGGGGAGCGAACAGGAUUAGAUACCCUGGUAGUCCACGCCGUAAACGAUGAGUGCUAGGUGUUAGGGGGUUUCCGCCCCUUAGUGCUGAAGUUAACGCAUUAAGCACUCCGCCUGCGGGAGUACGGCCGCAAGGCUGAAACUCAAAAGAAUUGACGGGGGCCCGCACAAGCGGUGGAGCAUGUGGUUUAAUUCGAAGCAACGCGAAGAACCUUACCAGGUCUUGACAUCCUCUGCCAAUCCUAGAGAUAGGAUGUUCCCUUCGGGGACAGAGUGACAGGUGGUGCAUGGUUGUCGUCAGCUCGUGUCGUGAGAUGUUGGGUUAAGUCCCGCAACGAGCGCAACCCUUGAUCUUAGUUGCCAGCAUUUAGUUGGGCACUCUAAGGUGACUGCCGGUGACAAACCGGAGGAAGGUGGGGAUGACGUCAAAUCAUCAUGCCCCUUAUGACCUGGGCUACACACGUGCUACAAUGGAUGGAACAAAGGGCAGCGAAGCCGCGAGGUCAAGCAAAUCCCAUAAAACCAUUCUCAGUUCGGAUUGCAGGCUGCAACUCGCCUGCAUGAAGCGGAAUCGCUAGUAAUCGCG